UACGGAGGGGGCUAGCGUUGUUCGGAAUUACUGGGCGUAAAGGGUGCGUAGGCGGCUAUCCAAGUCAGACGUGAAAGGCCUGGGCUCAACCCGGGAACUGCGUUUGAGACUGGGUGGCUGGAGUCCGGGAGAGGUGAGCGGAAUUCCCAGUGUAGAGGUGAAAUUCGUAGAUAUUGGGAAGAACACCGGUGGCGAAGGCGGCUCACUGGACCGGUACUGACGCUGAGACGCGAAAAGCGUGGGGGAGCGAACAGG
rnacentral:rRNA from 1 species